CAACCGCAUAUACCUCGGUCUUACUAUUUUAUUCUCUCUCAGCUCCUUUUGUAUAUAAAGGAGAAGUCUGAGAUUCCAGCUCCAUUUUCUUUCGCCUGCCGCCUCGCUCGCUGCUUGUCACCUGAUACUAAUUAUAUUUUUGGAGGUGACAUUUGAAGACUAGUCAAGAUGGUGAAGUUCACAGCUGAGGAGCUCCGAAGGAUUAUGGACUACAAACACAACAUUCGUAACAUGUCUGUUAUUGCGCAUGUUGAUCACGGGAAGUCAACCCUUACCGACUCCCUUGUUGCUGCUGCUGGUAUCAUUGCACAAGAAGUUGCUGGUGAUGUCCGGAUGACAGAUACCCGUGCAGAUGAGGCAGAGCGUGGUAUCACAAUCAAAUCUACUGGUAUCUCUCUCUACUAUGAGAUGACUGAUGAAGCUUUGAAGAGCUACAAGGGGGAGAGAAACGGAAAUGAGUACCUCAUCAAUCUCAUUGAUUCCCCUGGGCACGUUGACUUUUCAUCUGAAGUCACAGCUGCCCUUCGCAUUACUGAUGGUGCACUUGUGGUGGUUGAUUGCAUUGAGGGUGUUUGUGUCCAAACAGAGACUGUGCUUCGUCAAGCCUUGGGAGAAAGGAUCAGGCCUGUUUUGACUGUUAACAAGAUGGACAGGUGCUUCCUUGAGCUCCAGGUCGAUGGAGAGGAGGCUUACCAAGCAUUCCAAAGGGUUAUUGAGAAUGCUAAUGUCAUUAUGGCUACAUACGAAGACCCCCUUCUUGGUGAUGUCCAGGUCUAUCCAGAGAAAGGAACUGUUGCCUUUUCAGCUGGUUUGCAUGGUUGGGCUUUUACUCUGACCAACUUUGCUAAGAUGUAUGCAUCCAAGUUUGGAGUUGAUGAAUCAAAGAUGAUGGAAAGGCUCUGGGGUGAGAACUACUUUGACCCAGCUACCAAGAAAUGGACCAGCAAAAACACUGGUUCUGCUACCUGCAAGCGUGGUUUCGUUCAGUUCUGUUAUGAACCCAUCAAGCAGAUUAUCAACAUCUGCAUGAAUGAUCAGAAGGAGAAGUUGUGGCCCAUGUUGACAAAGCUUGGUGUGACGAUGAAGAGUGAUGAAAAGGAGCUGAUGGGGAAGGCGUUGAUGAAGCGUGUCAUGCAGACCUGGCUACCAGCCAGCAGUGCCCUAUUGGAAAUGAUGAUCUUUCACCUUCCCUCUCCUUCAACUGCCCAGAGAUACCGUGUUGAGAACUUGUACGAGGGUCCCCUUGAUGAUCAAUAUGCAAAUGCUAUCAGGAACUGCGAUCCUGAAGGGCCUCUUAUGCUCUAUGUAUCUAAGAUGAUUCCCGCAUCUGACAAGGGUCGAUUCUUUGCCUUUGGUCGUGUCUUUGCUGGUAAAGUCCAGACAGGUUUGAAGGUUAGAAUCAUGGGUCCAAAUUAUGUUCCUGGAGAGAAGAAGGAUUUGUAUGUUAAGAACGUGCAGAGGACUGUUAUUUGGAUGGGAAAGAAACAAGAAACUGUUGAGGAUGUUCCUUGUGGUAACACUGUUGCCUUGGUCGGUCUUGAUCAGUUUAUCACCAAGAAUGCUACGUUGACAAAUGAGAAGGAAACGGAUGCUCACCCCAUUCGUGCUAUGAAGUUCUCUGUUUCACCUGUUGUGCGUGUUGCUGUUCAAUGCAAGGUGGCUUCUGACCUUCCCAAACUGGUUGAAGGUCUCAAACGUCUGGCCAAGUCUGAUCCUAUGGUUGUCUGUUCCAUUGAGGAAUCCGGUGAGCACAUUAUUGCUGGUGCUGGUGAACUCCAUCUUGAGAUUUGUUUGAAGGAUCUACAAGAUGAUUUCAUGGGUGGAGCUGAGAUUAUAAAAUCUGAUCCUGUUGUGUCUUUCCGUGAGACUGUCCUGGAGAAGUCUAGUCGUACUGUAAUGAGCAAGUCACCCAACAAGCAUAACCGUCUGUAUAUGGAAGCUCGACCCUUGGAGGAAGGUCUUCCUGAGGCCAUUGAUGAUGGCCGUAUUGGCCCAAGAGAUGAUCCCAAAAUUCGUUCCAAGAUCUUGGCUGAAGAGUUUGGUUGGGACAAGGAUCUUGCUAAGAAAAUCUGGUGUUUUGGCCCUGAGACCACCGGUCCUAACAUGGUGGUGGAUAUGUGUAAGGGAGUUCAGUACCUGAAUGAAAUUAAGGACUCUGUUGUUGCUGGUUUCCAGUGGGCUUCAAAGGAAGGUGCAUUGGCAGAAGAAAACAUGAGGGGUAUUUGCUUUGAAGUCUGUGAUGUGGUUCUUCAUGCUGAUGCCAUCCACAGAGGAGGUGGUCAGGUUAUUCCCACUGCUAGGAGGGUCAUCUAUGCUUCCCAGAUCACUGCCAAGCCAAGGCUCCUUGAACCUGUAUAUCUUGUUGAAAUCCAAGCUCCAGAGCAGGCUCUUGGUGGUAUCUACAGUGUUCUUAAUCAGAAACGUGGGCAUGUGUUUGAGGAAAUGCAGAGGCCUGGUACUCCACUCUACAAUAUCAAGGCAUACCUCCCCGUCAUUGAAUCUUUUGGGUUCUCUGGUCAACUGAGGGCUUCGACUUCAGGGCAGGCCUUCCCACAAUGUGUCUUUGAUCAUUGGGAGAUGAUGUCGUCUGAUCCAUUGGAAGUUGGAUCCCAGGCUUCACAGCUUGUUACAGAUAUCCGUAAGAGGAAGGGUUUGAAGGAGCAAAUGACCCCACUAUCUGAGUUUGAGGACAAACUCUGAGUAAUUUCUUUGAUUAUAUCGAACAAUUGGAUGACUGAGUUACUUUGAGACAGUAGUUCCAUUGCACUGCCUAUUUUUUGUUUUCAGUUUUUUGUUUUCGUUUAAUGUUUGUACCAACCCUGUUGUUGUAGUCAGCAUCCUGUGCCAGUAGUAACGUUUUGUGCCUUCUCAGAAGAUUAUGUAAUGUUAUGUUCUUACUUUGUUGCUUAUGGAACCAUUUCUGCCAUUGCUGGGAAAAACAUUGGUGGCAGUCUCUGACCACCUUGGCAUGCCGAGUGGCCGGACAGGGUGGCAUACUUAAGACCAGUCUUGCUGUAGGAGUUGGAUUGAUUUGCUUUUUCAAUUUUCUGUCGGGAUUCUUGUGUUGUGUAGCAGCAUCAAGUAAAAUUUGAUUGCUUUGUGAUUUUGGAGCAUCACUGGAACUUUUAGAUAGUAAAUAACUGUAUUGGCCUUGUAUUUGCAACUUCCGGAGCAUUUGGCCUUUGAUUUUGCUUAAAGUGGCAUUGCA